UUAAAUUGAAGAGUUUGAUCAUGGCUCAGAUUGAACGCUGGCGGCAGGCCUAACACAUGCAAGUCGAACGGUAACAGGAAGCAGCUUGCUGCUUCGCUGACGAGUGGCGGACGGGUGAGUAAUGUCUGGGAAACUGCCUGAUGGAGGGGGAUAACUACUGGAAACGGUGGCUAAUACCGCAUAACGUCGCAAGACCAAAGAGGGGGACCUUCGGGCCUCUUGCCAUCAGAUGUGCCCAGAUGGGAUUAGCUGGUUGGUGAGGUAACGGCUCACCAAGGCGACGAUCCCUAGCUGGUCUGAGAGGAUGACCAGCCACACUGGAACUGAGACACGGUCCAGACUCCUACGGGAGGCAGCAGUGGGGAAUAUUGCACAAUGGGCGCAAGCCUGAUGCAGCCAUGCCGCGUGUAUGAAGAAGGCCUUCGGGUUGUAAAGUACUUUCAGCGGGGAGGAAGGUGUUGUGGUUAAUAACCGCAGCAAUUGACGUUACCCGCAGAAGAAGCACCGGCUAACUCCGUGCCAGCAGCCGCGGUAAUACGGAGGGUGCAAGCGUUAAUCGGAAUUACUGGGCGUAAAGCGCACGCAGGCGGUCUGUCAAGUCGGAUGUGAAAUCCCCGGGCUCAACCUGGGAACUGCAUUCGAAACUGGCAGGCUUGAGUCUUGUAGAGGGGGGUAGAAUUCCAGGUGUAGCGGUGAAAUGCGUAGAGAUCUGGAGGAAUACCGGUGGCGAAGGCGGCCCCCUGGACAAAGACUGACGCUCAGGUGCGAAAGCGUGGGGAGCAAACAGGAUUAGAUACCCUGGUAGUCCACGCCGUAAACGAUGUCUACUUGGAGGUUGUGCCCUUGAGGCGUGGCUUCCGGAGCUAACGCGUUAAGUAGACCGCCUGGGGAGUACGGCCGCAAGGUUAAAACUCAAAUGAAUUGACGGGGGCCCGCACAAGCGGUGGAGCAUGUGGUUUAAUUCGAUGCAACGCGAAGAACCUUACCUGGUCUUGACAUCCACAGAACUUUCCAGAGAUGGAUUGGUGCCUUCGGGAACUGUGAGACAGGUGCUGCAUGGCUGUCGUCAGCUCGUGUUGUGAAAUGUUGGGUUAAGUCCCGCAACGAGCGCAACCCUUAUCCUUUGUUGCCAGCGAUUAGGUCGGGAACUCAAAGGAGACUGCCAGUGAUAAACUGGAGGAAGGUGGGGAUGACGUCAAGUCAUCAUGGCCCUUACGACCAGGGCUACACACGUGCUACAAUGGCGCAUACAAAGAGAAGCGACCUCGCGAGAGCAAGCGGACCUCAUAAAGUGCGUCGUAGUCCGGAUUGGAGUCUGCAACUCGACUCCAUGAAGUCGGAAUCGCUAGUAAUCGUGGAUCAGAAUGCCACGGUGAAUACGUUCCCGGGCCUUGUACACACCGCCCGUCACACCAUGGGAGUGGGUUGCAAAAGAAGUAGGUAGCUUAACCUUCGGGAGGGCGCUUACCACUUUGUGAUUCAUGACUGGGGUGAAGUCGUAACAAGGUAACCGUAGGGGAACCUGCGGUUGGAUCACCUCCUUACCUUAAAGAAGC
rnacentral:rRNA from 1 species